rnacentral:rRNA from 1 species
GGAAGAAAAUGACUGUACCCGAAUAAGAAGGUCCGGCUAACUUCGUGCCAGCAGCCGCGGUAAUACGAAGGGACCUAGCGUAGUUCGGAAUUACUGGGCUUAAAGAGUUCGUAGGUGGUUGAAAAAGUUGGUGGUGAAAUCCCAGAGCUUAACUCUGGAACUGCCAUCAAAACUUUUCAGCUAGAGUUUGAUAGAGGAAAGCAGAAUUUCUAGUGUAGAGGUGAAAUUCGUAGAUAUUAGAAAGAAUACCAAUUGCGAAGGCAGCUUUCUGGAUCAUUACUGACACUGAGGAACGAAAGCAUGGGUAGCGAAGAGGAUUAGAUACCCUCGUAGUCCAUGCCGUAAACGAUGUGUGUUAGACGUUGGAAAUUUAUUUUCAGUGUCGCAGCGAAAGCGAUAAACACACCGCCUGGGGAGUACGACCGCAAGGUUAAAACUCAAAUGAAUUGACGGGGACCCGCACAAGUAGUGGAGCAUGUGGUUUAAUUCGAAGAUACGCGCAGAACCUUACCAACACUUGACAUGUUCGUCGCGACUUUAAGAGAUUAAAGUUUUCGGUUCGGCCGGACGAAACACAGGUGCUGCAUGGCUGUCGUCAGCUCGUGUCGUGAGAUGUUGGGUUAAGUCCCGCAACGAGCGCAACCCUCACUUUUAGUUGCCAUCAUUAAGUUGGGCACUCUGAAAGAACUGCCAGUGAUAAGCUGGAGGAAGGUGGGGAUGACGUCAAGUCCUCAUGGCCCUUACGUGUUGGGCUACACACGUGCUACAAUGGUAUCUACAACAGGAAGCAAAACGGCAACGUUAAGCAAAUCCUCAAAAGAUACCUCAGUUCGGAUUGCACUCUGCAACUCGAGUGCAUGAAGCUGGAAUUACUAGUAAUCGUGGAUCAGCGUGCCACGGUGA